rnacentral:rRNA from 1 species
GACGAGAGGGGUAAACGUUUUUCAGCAUGAAUCGGUCUAAAGAGUAUGUAGGCGGUAUUGCUAAUCAGUAGUUAUGAGAGUCUCAGUAGAGAUUAUUAUAAAAUGUAAUGGCCUUACUUGAGUGUUAUUGAAGAUGGGGGAAUACUAAGUGUAGGGAUGAAAUCUUAUCAAACUUGGUGGACUCUCUAAAAGCGCAGGCACCUGUCUAAUUAAACACUGACGCUGAGAUACUAAAGUAUGGGUAGCGAAGAGG